rnacentral:rRNA from 1 species
AACGAACGCUGGCGGCAGGCCUAACACAUGCAAGUCGAACGUGAAGCCAGAGCUUGCUCUGGUGGAAAGUGGCAGACGGGUGAGUAACGCGUGGGAAAUUACCCAGUAGUACGGAACAACAGUUGGAAACGACUGCUAAUACCGUAUACGCCCCAAGGGGGAAAGAUUUAUCGCUAUUGGAUAUGCCCGCGUCGGAUUAGCUUGUUGGUGAGGUAACGGCUCACCAAGGCGACGAUCCGUAGCUGGUCUGAGAGGAUGAUCAGCCACACUGGGACUGAGACACGGCCCAGACUCCUACGGGAGCAGCAGUGGGAAUAUUGCACAAUGGGCGCAAGCCUGAUGCAGCCAUGCCGCGUGAGUGAUGAAGGCCCUAGGGUUGUAAAGCUCUUUCACCGG